rnacentral:rRNA from 1 species
GAUGAACGCUGGCGGCGUGCCUAAUACAUGCGAGUCGAGCGAACAGACGAGGAGCUUGCUCCUCUGACGUUAGCGGCGGACGGGUGAGUAACACGUGGAUAACCUACCUAUAAGACUGGGAUAACUUCGGGAAACCGGAGCUAAUACCGGAUAAUAUAUUGAACCGCAUGGUUCAAUAGUGAAAGACGGUUUUGCUGUCACUUAUAGAUGGAUCCGCGCCGCAUUAGCUAGUUGGUAAGGUAACGGCUUACCAAGGCAACGAUGCGUAGCCGACCUGAGAGGGUGAUCGGCCACACUGGAACUGAGCCACGGUCCAGACUCCUACGGGAGGCAGCAGUAGGGAAUCUUCCGCAAUGGGCGAAAGCCUGACGGAGCAACGCCGCGUGAGUGAUGAAGGUCUUCGGAUCGUAAAACUCUGUUAUUAGGGAAGAACAAAUGUGUAAGUAACUAUGCACGUCUUGACGGUACCUAAUCAGAAAGCCACGGCUAACUACGUG